CGCCGCCGCCCCCCAUCGCCUCCACGCCCCGCCCCCGCAUCUUCCGCGCAGCCCGGGACGGCACUUCCGGCGCGCGGCUUCCCGUGACGCCAUUCCGCCCCGCCCAUCACGGUCCCGCAGCCGGAAGCGCCUCAGCGGCAGGGCGCAGAGGGGUGACGUCAGGGGCCGUGCUGCCUGGCUGCUUGAGAGGAGCCUGCAUUCCAGUGGACCAACUGACCCAACCAGACCAGUGGCCCAUACCAAGGAACCAACUCAACUGGUCUUGCUACCUGGGAACUGACUUGGUGCAAGAAGACAAUUUCUGCUUCAGGAUCCUAUGAGUUCAUCCCCAGCCAAUCAGCAGACCCAAUUCCCUAGCCCUGUGCCUGUCAAACUAUCUUUAAAAACCAUUUCUUCCAAAUUCUCAGGGAGAUGGAUUUGAGAAAGUCUUCCAAUCUCUUUGCAUGGUGCCUGCGAUAUUAAACUCUUUCUCUGCUGUA